rnacentral:rRNA from 1 species
CAGAUGAGGAGCUUGCUCCCUGAUGUUAGCGGCGGACGGGUGAGUAACACGUGGGUAACCUGCCUGUAAGACUGGGAUAACUCCGGGAAACCGGGGCUAAUACCGGAUACUUGUUUGAACCGCAUGGUUCAAACAUAAAAGGUGGCUUCGGCUACCACUUACAGAUGGACCCGCGGCGCAUUAGCUAGUUGGUGAGGUAAUGGCUCACCAAGGCAACGAUGCGUAGCCGACCUGAGAGGGUGAUCGGCCACACUGGGACUGAGACACGGCCCAGACUCCUACGGGAGGCAGCAGUAGGGAAUCUUCCGCAAUGGACGAAAGUCUGACGGAGCAACGCCGCGUGAGUGAUGAAGGUUUUCGGAUCGUAAAGCUCUGUUGUUAGGGAAGAACAAGUGCCGUUCAAAUAGGGCGGCACCUUGACGGUACCUAACCAGAAAGCCACGGCUAACUACGUGCCAGCAGCCGCGGUAAUACGUAGGUGGCAAGCGUUGUCCGGAAUUAUUGGGCGUAAAGGGCUCGCAGGCGGUUUCUUAAGUCUGA